UUGACCUCGGAUCAGGUAGGGAUACCCGCUGAACUUAAGCAUAUCAAUAAGCGGAGGAAAAGAAACCAACAGGGAUUGCCCCAGUAACGGCGAGUGAAGCGGCAACAGCUCAGAUUUGAAAUCCGGCCUCGGCCCGAGUUGUAAUCUGCAGGGGAUGCCCCUGGCGAGACGCCCACCGAGUUCCCUGGAACGGGACGCCAUAGAGGGUGAGAGCCCCGUAUGGUGGGAUGUCGAGCCUCUGUGGGGCUCCUCCGACGAGUCGAGUAGUUUGGGAAUGCUGCUCAAAGCGGGAGGUAAAUCUCUUCUAAAGCUAAAUACCGGCCAGAGACCGAUAGCGCACAAGUAGAGUGAUCGAAAGAUGAAAAGCACCUUGGAAAGGGGGUUAAACAGUACGUGAAAUUGUUGAAAGGGAAGCGCCUGUGACCAGACUCGCGCCGGGCGGAUCAUCCAGCGUCAGCUGGUGCACUCCGCCCGGCGCGGGCCAGCAUCGGUUCCCGCGGGGGGACAAGAGCGGCGGGAAUGUGGCUCCCCCGGGAGUGUUAUAGCCCGCCGCACGAUGCCCUCUCGGGGACCGAGGAUCGCGCUCUGCAAGGAUGCUGGCGUAAUGGUCACCGGCGACCCGUCUUGAAACACGGACCAAGGAGUCGUCCAUUACGGCGAGCGUUUGGGUGUCAAACCCCUACGCGUAAUGAAAGUGAACGCAGGUGAGAGCUUCGGCGCAUCAUCGACCGAUCCUGAUGUACUCGGAUGGAUUUGAGUAAGAGUCGUACCGGACGGACCCGAAAGAUGGUGAACUAUGCCUGUAUAGGGUGAAGCCAGAGGAAACUCUGGUGGAGGCUCGCAGCGGUUCUGACGUGCAAAUCGAUCGUCAAAUAUGGGCAUGGGGGCGAAAGACUAAUCGAACCAUCUAGUAGCUGGUUACCGCCGAAGUUUCCCUCAGGAUAGCAGUGUUGUCUUCAGUUUUAUGAGGUAAAGCGAAUGAUUAGGGACUCGGGGGCGCUCUUUAGCCUUCAUCCAUUCUCAAACUUUAAAUAUGUAAGAAGCCCUUGUUACUUAGCUGAACGUGGGCAUUCGAAUGUAUCAACACUAGUGGGCCAUUUUUGGUAAGCAGAACUGGCGAUGCGGGAUGAACCGAACGCGGGGUUAAGGUGCCGGAGUGGACGCUCAUCAGACACCACAAAAGGUGUUAGUACAUCUUGACAGCAGGACGGUGGCCAUGGAAGUCGGAAUCCGCUAAGGACUGUGUAACAACUCACCUGCCGAAUGUACUAGCCCUGAAAAUGGAUGGCGCUCAAGCGUCCCACCCAUACCCCGCCCUCAGGGUAGAAUCGAAGCCCUGAGGAGUAGGCGGCCGUGGGGGUCAGUGACGAAGCCCAGGGCGUGAGCCCGGGUCGAACGGCCCCUAGUGCAGAUCUUGGUGGUAGUAGCAAAUACUUCAAUGAGAACUUGAAGGACCGAAGUGGGGAAAGGUUCCAUGUGAACAGCGGUUGGACAUGGGUUAGCCGAUCCUAAGCCAUAGGGAAGUUCCGUUUCAAAGGGGCACUUGUGCCCCGUAUGGCGAAAGGGGAGCAGGUUAAUAUUCCUGCGCCUGGAUGUGGGUUUUGCGCGGCAACGCAACCGAACGCGGAGACGGCGGCGGGGGCCCCGGGCAGAGUUAUCUUUUCUUCUUAACGGUCUACCACCCUGGAAACAGUUUGUCUGGAGAUAGGGUCCAACGGCCGGAAGAGCCCGACACUUCUGCCGGGUCCGGUGCGCCC
rnacentral:rRNA from 1 species